GACGUAGGGCGCGAGCGUUGUCCGGAUUUAUUGGGCGUAAAGAGCUCGUAGGCGGCUUGUUGCGUCAGCUGUGAAAACCCGCAGCUCAACUGUGGGCUUGCAGCUGAUACGGGCAGGCUAGAGUUCGGUAGGGGAGACUGGAAUUUCCGGUGGAGCGGUGAAAAUGCGCAGAGAUCGGAAAGAACACCAACGGCGAAAGCACUCUGCUGGGCCGACACUGACACUGAGAGACGAAAGCUAGGGGAGCGAAUGGG
rnacentral:rRNA from 1 species